ACCACCUCCACGACCUGCACGGCGCCCGGACGGCGGACGCCGCACUAAUCCCCGCGCCGACCUGCGGAUGCCGCAAGCUGCCGCGCCGUCCUCCGGGCACGCCGGCGACAGCCCUCCGCAGUUGCCGUACCGGGCUCGAUUUGGGCAACACCGCAUUGCAUGCCGUCUCGCGUCGCCAAUGGACUCUAAAUGAUGCAGAUCGCAUAUGCCCUCUUCUCCCUCCCAGGCCGCCACAGACGGACAAGGAUCGGGACGUCCUUCAGUGAUGCGCCCAGACCUUGUUUUGGUUGUUCGCCCGCUGCAGCAACCAGCAAUUGAGGCCAAACUAACCCUGAGCUAUUUGUGCUUAUUUUAUUUAUUGCUCUGUGCGUUUUGGGUAUGGAUAAACAAUCUUCAUCAACACCGUGAGAUUUCCUAAGCAAAUAACUCUAAUUUCAUGCUUCAGAUUCAUCUUUUUUGCAUCAUUUUAUGAUAGUUUUACUCCUCUUUUCUCUAGCCGUCAGAUAUCUCAAACUUGCAGACUUGUGGUCCGAGGCAUGGAGCACAAGGUGCGGACCAUAUUGUAAAUUUGUAAUCCAGUUGCCCCCAAUUUGAGGUAAUUUCUCUCCAUUGAAAUCCUACCCAUUCAUGUUUCCAUGUGUAGGUGCGCUUCUUUAUGCUAUUUUGAUGUCAGAUAUCAUGAAUUCCUGUGUGUUUAUCUAUUUGUCAUCUAUCAGCUGAUUUUUUUAAUUACAAGAAGCCGAAUAUAAUAGAUUCAAUUGAGAAACUGAUUGUUCAGUGGCAUGAAGAUUUCCUUUUGUGAGACAAGUAGCAAUGAAUAUUUCUGGUUAAGAAUGUGACACAAGUAGUAGCAAUUAAGAUUUGUGUGGUUUCUUGACAUGAGAGUAAUGUUUAAUGAUCCAAUUUUCUUUGUCACAAUUCCAGUCAUAUGAUCUAACAGAUGCAGAUUGCAGUGGUAACUUUGUUUAAAAUAAAAAGGCAUGAUCAAUUCAGGGGAGCUCUCAGAUCAAGUAAGAUGUUUGCUCUUAAGUAUUAUAGAUGCAACAUGGUCAAAGCAACCAAAUUCAGUCUUUCUUUAUCCCACCUUAGUUUUUACGGGUUUAUUUGCAUAUUAGUGAAAAUGGGUUGAGGUGAAGAGUGGUUUGAAAUCAAAAUUUCCUAACCUCUAUGACUAGCACAACACUUUGGAAACCAUCUAGCAUGUGACAACGCUAUGUGCCCGCAUGAUUAAAGAUCCUAGAUAUGUUUACUUUGCUCCAGGUCUGUAGCUUUGUGCAGUUUCCUUUACCAUCCAUUUUUCUUUUUCUUAUUCCAGCCUCGGUAUGGUCUUCAUAUAUACUAUUAUAGGAAUGUGGCACUACAUGCAAAUAGAGGAAUUGAUACAUGUAUAAAGCGCUGGGGAUAAUAUUUACUCACCCUCAACCAUAAGAGAAUUCAGACUAAGCGCCUAAAGCAAUAGUCAUUAAAUAAAUCAUGCAAGAGGCCAUGUUUGAUGCCUUUAUUCCAAGAGUAUUUACAUGGGAGCUAGGGUUUUAGAUACACAACUGUUGGCAUUAUUUGGUAUGUGCAUUUCGUCCUAGCACUGACGAUAAGUACAUGUACUGGUCUGAAAUAGUUCAUGUUUACGCUAUAGGACGCCACGCAAACGCAUGUCCCUUUGCGCUCUGAGCUACCACCCACGCCCAAUCCGACCUCUGCUGCUGAUGUGCACCACCAACCGCCGCCCUGGAGGCAGCCGACGUUCAUCCACGGCUGAGGACGAAAAUGACGCCGCUUCUUUGCUUCGCUGAUGCUAAAUCACCUCAUCGGGGACAUGGAGAUCGCCACCACCGUCGCUCCCCGGCGUCGCUUAGAAGCUCUUCUCUUUCCGUACUCUCAUAUUUUUCUUGCUUAUUGCCUGAUCUAUCUUAACUUCUACUAGCGGUUCUUUUGGAGAUCCUAUCUUGGUUUGACCUCCCCAUCGAUUUUUUAAACUGGCAAUUGGGACUUGGAAAGUCAACCUUGCACUUUGGUUCGAUGGCAGUCGUUCAAGUGGAAGAUUUAAGGACUGCUUUCUCUUUUGUGAUAGAA